rnacentral:lncRNA from 1 species
CUAACAUUGCAUGGUAACGUUCCUAACAUUAAAAUUUAUUGUUGAUGAGGUGAAUAUUAUACUCACAUGGGACUGCCAAAUUAAUGAGAUUAAAACUUAAUAUGAAAUUGUUUUCUUACUAGCUGCAGACACACAGAUUUUUCUUAAUAUUUUUAUUAUUUAAAUUUUAGAAAAAUUUUAUUAGAUUCCACAGAAUGUUUUAUUGUUAAUAGAACAAUAAUUAAAAAUUGUCUUUCAUGGCUUUCAGAACUAACAAGUCUGCUUUUAGUGAUUUCUCUACAGCAUUGAGGCACUUACUACAGCAUGCCUCUUUUCAAGAUCAGUUGUGUGUAUCAAGUGAUCUGAUCUCAUUCACAUAUAAUAUUGUUGUGAUAAGUAAACAUAAUCAAAUUGUAUGAUACAUUAUCUGUAUAGUUGCCAGGUGUUUAUUAUUUGUGUCUCUAUAGUACAACAAAUUAACAGUGAUAUCCUGACAAGGAAACAACCUUGUGUCUUGGACAUUCCAAGAUACUGCCAAGCAUAGGCACUUUGACAAGAGAAAAUGAAAGUAGACUGGGUCUGACAUCACUAGGGUUGAGUGAUGGUCUAGCAAUAUUGUUUCAUCACUGCAGCAUGAAAAAAACUAUAUAUAAAAAAGAAAAACCAGAAUAUGAAUUAGAGCUCAUUGAUGAAGAUUCAAGUUCAAGAAGUUGGGUAACUCAGAGAAAUAAAAUCAGACCGGAUAACGGUUGGCAUCCUCCCGUUCAACACAUGUAAUAUAAUGUAGGUGCUAGGCAAUACGUGUAAAUAACCGUGCAAGCAUUCUGUUCCUAUUAUCGGUGACGGAUCAUUCGACACAUUAGCAUAAUAGAACGACGCGUCGUUAAGGAAUUCGGUGAAAUAUUUCAGUGCCAAUACAAAAUUCUAAAAUACUUCCAAGGAAAUUUUAAAAAAUUGACUUUAACACCGCAAACUUUUUUACUGUUUCGUAAGUUAACCAUUCGAACGGAGAAAGUAUUUUCCUACACAAAAUACUUCGGUCAGAGUACAAAUAAAUUUUAUUCUCUCAGCAUGCGUUUUCGAUAAAUACCGAAAAGGCCUAACUCUAAAUUUAUAUCUAUAUUUACUGUAUAAAUAUUCGAUACUGUCGAUAUAUAUUUUUGAGGCCUUAAUUUUUUAUAAUAAACGUCAUAUUUUAUUAUACGCUGUUAAGGCUAAGGAAAAUUUAGCCCGAUUUUUAAUCAUCCGCGUAUCAUGUAAUGAUAAACUAGGUUAAAUUGUGCCUGGGAAGACAUCUGACAAUAUUUUAUGAUAAUCAGUGAUCAAAUCACCUUAAUACUGUUCAUUUUUUUAAUAGAAACUUUAAUUUUGAAAACUUUCUUCCAAAUAUUGGAAAUUUUUGUAGAAUAAAAAGCGGUUAAUACCCCAACUAAGUUUAAACGUAGGCCUAUAUAUAUUAUUAAUGUGUAAAAUAUUUACUAUAUUAAUGUGUUGAUUUUAAUUUAAUGUAAUUUACACCCAAGCUGUUAACUUAUUAAAUUGUCAUUAAAUUUCUUUGAUAUUUUAUAAUAAAAUCAAAAAUAUAUCGUACGUGGCAUUUAUUUAACGGAAGAUAUUUUUUGAUUUUCUGUUAUGGUAAUCGAAUUAAAAUAUUUAUUUAUAAUGCA